CACUGUAACAAAUUUCUGUAAUUUCUACAGCAAAAUUUUACAGUUACUUCUUGUUCUGUCAUUUUACAAAGUUUAUCUGUACAUUGCAAUGCAUUGUGGGUCAAAAAACUAUUACAGAAGUUGACAGCUUUUCCCCCACAAUAAAUUACAGGUAUAUUUGCGCUUGCCUGUAAAUGAUGCAGUAUUACAGUUAUUCACUGUUGAAUGCGUUGCACGAGGCAGCUUGACGCCAUUUUAUGUCGGAUUGCAGAGGAGCAGGGACAUUGCCACGCCACUCAUCCACAAUAUGUAAGUAUACUAUUAUAAAUAGCUAUUAUAUUUGUUAAUGUUGGUUGAAAUAAAGUUUACCGUGUAUCAGUCAAGCCCCACAAUAAAGUUAAUAAAGAAAUUUUGAAGAAGCAAUCCCAGGUGAAGCAGUUUAGUGGUUAAAAUAAAGUAAAUGGUAUAACUUUAAUGUGAACCCUGUUCAUAUUUAUAUUGGACUUCAAUUAUGUGCGUUAACGUCACUCAGGCAUGCAAGCAGGGUGCGUGCAUGCGCGUAUGAGCACGUCCACAUUGAUAGGUCUUAUACAUGCAUACAUAUAUUUUGAAAUAUAAAAAUAUUGAUAGGAUCAGGAUCAGAUAGAGAGUUUUUAACAAACGUGCGUGUUCAUAGGCGCCAAAUUCUUUCUCCGCCGGUGGCAGCGUCAAGCAAUGCUUAGCAACGAAAGAAGCUCUGAAGCGCCCUCGCGAUUUGAAGAGGAGAAAAGCGGCGCGGUCACGUUUUCCGCGUGGUUUCAGACGCGACAUGUAAAGUAAAUGUAAAGCAACUGUGCGCGUAUGUGUUGGCCAUUUCGGUGGCUGCUCGAGCCGAGCCCCGGAGGACCCAGGGGAUCAGGGCAUAUCUGCGUGUUUAUUGUAGCACUUCCACUCAUAAAACAACAAGUGAGAAACCUUUUUGGGGUUAUAAUGUUUCCACCUGCGCUGAAAACGCGUUCUGAUGGUGUACUGGUAGCGCAGAUUGAUACUUUUUCGCAACGUUGAAUGAGAGAGAACGGCCGUUUCUCAACCGAAGGCUUCAGUCUCCGGAGGUCGCAUAUGCAGGCUGUAUGUCAUCAAGCCUGGUUUAUUAUUUUCAUACAUUUGCAAGUCAUAAGCAUAUUACAACAAUGUAUGAUCAACAAAGAAUAAUAGUCAAGCUUUGAAAAAUGGUAUUGGUAUGAAAAAUUACUGUACAUUUGAAUCUAUUUUUCUUUGUCUUUUAGGUGUUGGCAACAGCUACUGUUGACUACAGUUUCCUGACACUAAUUGUCUUAGGUGAAUCAGCGUUUGGAUGCUGAGCAUCGGGUGGUUGUGCCUCCACAUCCCAACUUCGUGGCUGGAAUGGCAGCUUUGUUUUCUAGCUACUACAACUUCAAUCUGGUGUACCAGGAGCAAGCAUCUUGCACACUGGAGUUCAUUCAAAGAUGCUUCAUUGGACUGAACCCCUCCAGUGGGACCAAGACAGCAAAGGUGGUUAGCCAAAAAAGAGGGAAGGUACAGGAGAAAAAGAAGAACCGCAUUAACCCUCACGUCUCCUCUCUACUUAAGCGGCUGAUAGAUUUUGAAUGGCUUCAAUUGUAAGUCUCAAGCGACAUCCUCACAAUAUGAAUGGACAUUGUUCUAAAUGUUUUCUGAAUUUCACUGAAUGUUAAGAAAAUAAAUAGAAUAUGCUGUUAAGAAAAAGACAUUCUGAAAAUGUACAGUAUUGUAACACUGUAUUUUGUUUUAAUAAUAAAAUUUCAUGAUUUUGCAUCUUGGACUAUGGUUUUAUUUAACAGUUGAAGAGAAUCUUAUCCAAUGAUGUUUGGAUUUAAAGCAAGCCUGGUCUUAUUUAAAACACUUUACAAUAGGCAUCAGCAAAGAUGCGAAUGUAAAGAACAAAAUUAACUAUUUAUUUUUUACGACAACACAACGUAUUGUAAAAUAUUUACAGAUUUUUGCUGGCAACUCGAGUUGGCAGCAAAAAGAUGUAAUUAUUUCAAAACACAUUAUGUUGUUGUAAAAAAGAUUCUACAAUAACAUAUUGUAUUGUGAGGAAUUUACAGAUAUUACCUGGCAACUCUAGUUGCCAGGUAAUAUCUGUAAUUUGAAAAGAAAACAAGAUAAUGUUGUAAACUAAAUUACAAUAAAGUAGUGUUUUAAUAUAAAAACCUAAUACUUUGCUGUAAUUUAUGUACAACAAUAACCUGUAAACAAAAUCCAGAAUUAUACUGUAAUUCAUUUUUACAGUUAUUAAAAGCAAAUUCACAAAACUUUACAAGAUUUUACUGGCAACUUUUUUGCCAGGUACUUACUGUAAAAUCUACAGGCAAAUUCGUUAC